UGUGGCUGCUCGCGCGACUCUCGCUCGGCUUCAUUCUGCUGCUGGCACUGCUCAGAACAAUUCUCAACCAGCUAAAUCCCGGCACACCCGCUCAGCCUCGAGGCCGACACUCGCAACUUCGGCUUCCCCACCGCGACCCACCCAAGCACAGCGACUACACCUCGACAACGCGCUCGGCAGCCUCAACAGCCGCACCUAGCGAUUCCGUCACCCCUAGCACGCUUGUUGACGACCUGGAGGACCCGCAGACAAGCCUACCCUCGAUCUAGCACCUACCGACCUGCCCGCCAUUCCGCCUCUCCACACUCGCCGUUCGGGCUCGUCCCUCUCGCCGCUCGCCAAAGACGGCAGCGGCUC
rnacentral:misc_RNA from 1 species